UACAGAGGGGGCAAGCGUUAUUCGGAAUUAUUGGGCGUAAAGGGCGCGUAGGCGGCUUGGCAAGUGGAAGGUGAAAUCCCUCGGCUUAACCGAGGAACUGCCUUCCAGACUGCUUUGCUUGAGGCCGGGAGAGGUGAGUGGAAUUCCCAGUGUAGCGGUGAAAUGCGUAGAUAUUGGGAGGAACACCAGUGGCGAAGGCGGCUCACUGGACCGGUUCUGACGCUGAGGCGCGAAAGCGUGGGAGCAAACAGG
rnacentral:rRNA from 1 species